AGAUUGAACGCUGGCGGAAUGCUUUACACAUGCAAGUCGAACGGCAGCACGGGACUCAGGCAACUGAGCCCUGGUGGCGAGUGGCGAACGGGUGAGUAACAUAUCGGAACGUACCCAGUCGUGGGGGAUAACUCUCCGAAAGGAGAGCUAAUACCGCAUACGUCCUGAGGGAGAAAGCGGGGGACCUAAGGGACUGAGGCCUCGUCGGCGAGUUCGGAGCGGCCGAUAUCGGAUUAGGUAGGUUAGGUCGGGUAAAGGCUACGACCAAAGCCAACGAUACUGUAGGCUGGUCUGGAGACGGACGGACCAGCCACGACCUGGGACUCGACGGACCACGGGCCC
rnacentral:rRNA from 1 species